rnacentral:tRNA from 1 species
GGGCGAGUGUUGGAACUGGUAGACAAGCUAGCUUCAGAAGCUAGUGGGGGUUACCUCAUAUGGGUUCAAAUCCCAUCUCGCCCACCA